rnacentral:lncRNA from 1 species
GGCCAGGAAGAAUCAGGAAUAGGUAUUUGCUGCGUUCCAUUUUGCAUUUCUGUUGGGUUUCCUCGUUGUUUUUUUGUUUUUAAUUGCCCAAACUCCAGAAAUCCCAGUUUACUAAACCAAAUGAGAAACAUGUUUAGGGCAGAGAAAACACUAUUUUUUAAGGUGUGUAUUUGUAUGUGUGUGUGUGUGUAUGCGUGCGUGUGUGUAUGGGUGUAUGGGUGUGUGCGUUUUCUUUAAAAGGAAAGCUGAAGCAGUGUAUAGUCUAAAAGCUGCUGUUUGAUCCAAAACUUUAUUGCUUACUAUGGAGUAAAUUUAAGUUUAAAAAUAAAGUGAGUUGGAUGGAGUUGAUUGUAAAGUAAUUUGGAGCUGCUUAAGUGACGUAGAAUUUGUUUCUUGGAUCAAAAUACUUACUUUACCAGAUUAGCUAAAAUGCAGAGAUAGUUUUGAAGAUCACUUCGAGUUUUUGGUUUGAGGUGGUGGCUUCCCCACCCCCUCCCUCUGUUUACUCCGAUCUCUGGCUCAGGUUAAAGCCUUGGGGAGACCUGCUUGACCGCGUCUGUUUGCUAAGAAGCCCUUACUUUGUUUUACUCUCAGCCUUUCCCCUUCCAGGCUCACUGGUGCCACUGCUCUUCUUGGGGCUGUUUGGGUGAAUCUUGGGGAGAAGCUCUUCUAAUAGGUUACUUUGUUUUACUCUCAGCCAUGUGGAAAUUAAAAAAAAAAAUGUGAAUGAACACUGAGGUCAAUAGAUGAAUUUUCCCCUUUGAAGCCUGUGUCUUUGCACUUUAAGAUACAGUGAGUGAAAGUUGAGGAGAACAGAGUUGACAAAGUCCUUGAAAUUAUGUGCCAAAAUUACUAUAUUCUGAUACCUCCCCCCCUUUUUUUCCUCCAUAGGAACUCUAGGUCCAAAGUAGACAUGAUUUGAAACCACGCAGACGGGAACAAUAUCCCAUGUAAGCCUGCUGAUCUGUGGGCAAUUAUUUCCAGAUGCAGAACCAACUCCACAUUUUUAUGUGUGUUAGAUUUGGGCUCUAGGAGGCAAUUGCCUUUCUGAAAAUUUACAUUGCCUGGUAAAAUAACACAAGGCAGACGUUUCAGAGGCUUAACAGCAAGUUCACAAUAGUAUGGGAGCAGUAGUUAGAAGCCCUGUGUUUGUUUUUUUCCAAGUCUGUAAUUUAGUAGGGUUUAAACUAUUUUACAAAGAUCUCUGGGACCAGUGAAAGGUGGUUUUGAGUCCAGAGCACUUGAGUGCUCGUUGUACUCUGGCAGGCCCUGGUGCUUGGCAGGUUGUGCUUGCAGUGUUACUUGAUCUGGUUGCGUGAUAGAACUACGAGUACUUUUUCCCUUCCCGUGGCUGUUGAAAGUGGUGUAUCAACGAGUACUGUUCACUAACAUGUUUAAAGACUUAACCGACGUUCAUUCACUCUAAGAAGGUUUCCAGCAAAAGGUUGUUUAGGUUUUUGUCUUGUUUUGUGGUUUUGCAUUUAUGAAUUGAGGCGAGAGCUGACGUAAUGUAGCUGUACCACUUCCUUUGUGCGUGUAUUGGUUUUUAUAGCCUAUAGGCUGUGUUCCAGUCUACAUGGUUGUGAUUAUUUCUGAAGCGCUUGGAUGUAUAUAUUCAAGUUUCCUUUUCAAAUGCAGUUACCUUCAGCUAUGUGCCAAUUUAUUUUUCAGAUUGUGGCGGGGGGCGGGGGGGGGGGGGAGCAGCCACGGUGUGACCCCUGCUGGUUUAUCAGUAACGUUCAGUGAAUUGCCCGUGUGGUGUGCAGACUAGCUCUUCAUUUUAAUUAGUGCAACUGGACAGCUGUUAGGUCAGAAUGCAUUGGCUGCUCCUGCAGGGGAGUUUUAUCUUACACUGGAGGUUUUAUGGACUUGUCUGGCUGUGUUUCUUAAUCCUUCUUCCACGGCCACUGUGCUUGCGUUUGAGCAAACGAUAGAACAUGACAAGCUUUUGUUUACUCAUGUAAUAGUUUGCUUAUGAGAGAUUUAUUUUUGGUUUUGAGGAAAUUGCUAAGCUAUGUAAUUUAUUAGUAGGUAUUACUAUGCUUUUCCAAGGUCAAAGGGUUUUGCUUGCUAUUGUGUUAGUCUGAGGAGCCAAUGGGACCAUUCAUUUUAUAAUGACAAGGGAAGCCUCCCCACCCAAAUAAAAAUGGUUCUUUGUUUGCUAUUCUAGGAUUAGUUUGUAAAACUCAGAAAUAAAUGUUAACUCAGGGGAGAUAACGUUGCUAAAAUGUUUCCCUCUGUCUCUUAUCUCUUGUUACACUGUACCAAAGGGACUGAGAGAAGGAGCCGGUGAUUGAGAGCAGUUUGGCCACGGGCUAGAUGAUUAAUCCAAGGAUUUAGAAACGUCUCUGCUGGGGUUGGGGGGAGGGGCGCGGGUGGCUUCCUUUAAAUUUUAAUAUGUGCUUUUGGCUCCAAGUUAUUGGAAAGUAUUUACUGUAAGAUUGAGUAGCUUUGAGUCUUUGAAUAUGGGUCUGUGACAAAGUCAGGCUUGUCAGGGUGUAAAAUAGACUGUGAAUGUGAAUGAGACAUUUUCUUAAUGAUUUGGUCUCCUUACUGUCUGCCUUCUAAGACCGUCCACCACAUUACAAGAAAAAAAGGAGCAAAAGUCAAAACCAAAACUGACUGAAAUCUGUUUAUGCAUAAAGCUAAUGGGAUGCCUUUUUCACUGGCCCUGGUUACUGAUGGAAGAACACACAGGGCUUUAUUGUUGUCAGGGGAUAGUGGGGCGUUGGGGCCUAGACGAGAAGAGGGAAGGGAAGCUGGCUCCUGCUGAGCUAUUUUUUAACUGAUUGGAGAUGUGAGUCCUUCCUAAAAUAACCUGGAAAAAAGAAAGAGUGCAGCAGUUCUAGAAAAAUGCAUCAUUUCAAUGUAACAUCUAUAAAAUGUUUUCUCUCAUUAAAAGAAAGCAAGACGUUUAGAUUGGCAGUAGAGACUGCUGAAUCCAAGGAAAAAUAGAAGGAAGUAUUAAUAAGUAUCCUAGAUCCAAACAGAUUAUUUCAGAAGUUCAUUUGUGUUUUUUUUUUUUUUUUUUAAUUUCUGAGACCAUGUUUUUUUAUUACAAAUAUCAGUGGUGAUUAGAGUCUUAGGCUUACCCUCCUAAAUCUUUUUAAUUCUUGGUAUAGUUGACUGACUUACAUGUUUCUAAUGAAAAAGCAGUAAAGUAAAACAAUAAUGUUAAAAUGUAAUUGCAGGAAGAAUCAGCAUAGCCAUAUUCAGUUUUUAAUGUUGUCACAUGGAGUCUCUGCUGGUAUGAGUAAUCAGUUUAUCCCUUAUAAAUUGGUGGCAAAUAGCUAGAUUGUCUUCUCUAUUCCUUUUUCCUAUCACCCAUCACCGUGAGACCUAGGAUGAAAUACUUACUAGCCUCUUUGUGGGAAAAAGUCUACCUCAGGAGGUGUGUUAGGAAAAUGCUUGGUACCUAAUGACAGCUAAUACUUACUAUAAUAGUGAGCAAUAUUUGUGCUCUAGGCAGUGUUUUAGAUGCUGAAGAUACAAAACAGCUGAAGUCUCUGUGCUCACAGCACUUGUGUUCCAAGGGAGGAAGAUCAAAUUACAAAGAUCAGGAUGGAGUUCCUGCUGUGGCUCUGGUCACUGCAGAGGUGCUGGUUAGAUCCCCUGCCUGGGGCAGUGAGUUGAAGGAACUGGCGUUGCCACAGGUGCUAUGUAGACUGCAGUUUGUAUUCAAUCCCUGGCCCAGGAACUUCAUUUGCUGUGGGUGUGGCCAUUUUUUUUUUUUUUUUUUUUAAAAAGAGCAUGGGAGUUCCCAUCGUGGUGCAGUGGUUAAUGAAUCUGACUAGGAACCAUGAGGUUGCAGGUUCGGUCCCUGCCCUUGCUCAGUGGGUUAACAAUCCGGCGUUGCCAUGAGCUGUGGUGUAGGUUGCAGAUGCAGCUCGGAUCACGCGUUGCUGUGGCUCUGGCGUAGGCCAGCGGCUACAGCUCCGAUUAGACCCCUAGCCUGGGAACCUCUGUAUGCCGUGGGAGCGGCCCAAAGAAAU